rnacentral:SRP_RNA from 1 species
GCUGGGCAUGUUGGCACGUGCCUGUAAUCCCAGCUACUUGGGAGGCUGAGGCAGGAGAAUUGCUUGAACCCAGGAGGCGGAGGUUGCAGUGAGCCAAGAUUAUGCCACUGGAGUCCAGCCUGGGUGACAGAGUGAGAAUCUGUCUCAA